CAUAAACAAAGAUCUCCUAACUUUGUUUAGAAAUCCUAAAACUUUUUCAUAAUAAUCUCCUGAAGGCCACCCCAGCGGUGGCUUUUGU
rnacentral:sRNA from 1 species